rnacentral:rRNA from 1 species
UACGAAGGGGGCUAGCGUUGUUCGGAAUUACUGGGCGUAAAGCGCACGUAGGCGGAUAUUUAAGUCAGGGGUGAAAUCCCAGAGCUCAACUCUGGAACUGCCUUUGAUACUGGGUAUCUGGAGUAUGGAAGAGGUGAGUGGAAUUCCGAGUGUAGAGGUGAAAUUCGUAAGAUAUUCGGAGGAACACCAGUGGCGAAGGCGGCUCACUGGUCCAUUACUGACGCUGAGGUGCGAAAGCGUGGGGAGCAAACAGG